UCUGACUCCCCAAGUCAGUCUGCUUUUCAUGCCUUUAACUUGUUCACUUGGGUGAACAUAAGUGGCUUCUGCUUCACUUUUUAUUACACAAACCGGCUUGACACUGCUGGCCUCAGCCACAGUCCUUUUUUCUCCUUUUGUUGCCUCGGGAAGAUUUAUCAGCACCUUUCUGUUUUCUAAUGUCUUUCCAGCAUUCUCUUGAAACAUGUAAGAUUCAGCUUCUGAGCGUGAAAAUAUUUUUGUUUCUGACUCUUUUUCCAAGACCUCUUCAUCUGUGGUGAUGCCACUCCGAGCAAGUUUGAGGCUUUCAUGGGAAGCUGCAAUGUUUUGAUUUUCAAUAAAAC